ensembl:lncRNA
AUGUCUUUGACUCUAACUCUUUCCUUUAUAAUCCCCACUACAUCUAUAUGUAAAAUGCUACAUUCCUCACCACUGAACUACUGGCUUAAACUCUCCUGCCCAUACAUCAGUUCCAAACAAAUUACAUCUAUGGAUCUGCAAGGACAUACAUCCAACACAAAUCUCACAACUACUAUCUCCAAAAGAUCAUUUAUCAUACCCCAAGGAUUGCACGUCUGCUUCCUCACAGACUCAAUAUGUCGAGAUAUUAGAGACUACAUGCCAAAUGCACAAUGCUGGGUGCACCCAGGGACAACCCUUAUAAGAUCUGCUAUGCAACACAUCAACCACUUUAAGACAGUACACAGCAACAGCAUUGUGAUACUUCACAUCGGAACAAAUGACAUUGCAAGUGGAGCACCUGCAUCAGUAGUCGUCCAACGCAUGAAAACUCUCAUAACAAGAAUCUCCCUCACUAAUCCUCACAUCCUUUACUUUGGAAUCAGUGCUAUCUUACCACGUCCAACAGAUAACUCUACAACUAAGAACACCGUCAAAGACUUCAACAGCUUACUUCGCUACUGGACUGAACAAACAACAAACAUAAUUUUCCUGAACACAACAAAACCAUUCCUAAAAAGUGGAAAAAUACUCCAUCACCUAUACAAGCAAGAUGGGCUACACCUCACUACACAAGGAAAACAAAGACUUUUUGCCUACUUCCAGCGUUUCCUCUGGCAUUUUUGCCGUUUUCAAACUCCCACAAAAAAAUGUUUAACUAACUAACAUAAAAAAGAAAAAUCACACCUCUCUUGUUCAACUUGUUACCUUUUCCUGAAAAAAAUAAACAAAUUUUCUAUUCACA